rnacentral:lncRNA from 1 species
UAAAGAGACACUUCUGGAAUAAUCUGGUGUUCUGUGUCUUGCUCAAAGUAACAGUAUAGAUCCUACUGAAGUACAUUCAAAUUGAAAUACAAUCCAUUACAAGUGUGAAAAAUUAUACUUAAUUUCUUAGGAUUUUCUGCCCCCUAUUGGAGAAAUAUGAUGCAACGAGCCGAGAAACAGAAACACAGCAGGAUGUUUUCCCCACUUUGGUCUCAGAAAAUAUCGCCGCCUCCGAAUCAACAUUAGUCAGAGCAGUAAAACAGGAAGUAGAACAAAGUUAUAGAUACAGCUACACGCUAAAAGUAAAUCUUAUAGACAUGGCAGACAGGAGUCCAGCUAUCGUGGUUGUUGGCGCUGGAGUCGCAGGACUCGCUGCAGCCAAGAAACUGAAAGAAUAUGGAUUUAAUGACGUCACGGUGCUGGAAGCGUCCGAGAAGGUCGGAGGAAGAGUAGCUACUGCAACCCUAGGUGAACACACAGCCUUCAUAAUAUCUCAAAUAGAAUAACAGUAUUAAGGUUAUAUAUAGAAAAUGUCAUUCAAUAUUAAAAUGGUAUUCAAUAAUGUAAAACAAGAAUUAAAUAAAACAUUAUUAAAUCAAAGUAUUAUUAAUAAUAAUUGUAAAGGUUUGUUCUUUUGUCAAGUAUAUUUAUUAUUCAUAAAAAUGUUUAUUAUAUGAUCAUUAUUUUAACAAACAGACAAAUAAAUGUAUGGUUGCUUGUUUAGAGGAAACUGUUUUGGGAAGCUAAAAUCUGUGAACUCAUGGCUUAGUUUCACUUCUAUUAAAUAUAAUUUUCUUCCUUUUUUUUUUUUUUUUUUUUUUUUGUGCCAUGUCAUUAGAUUGUAUCAUGUGAUUUUAAAUCCAAUUUGUGAUGGGACCACAAACUGACCUUUAAUGGCAUUUUUUAUUUUUUUUACUUUUAUGAGGAUAUAUUUUUUAUAAACACAUAGUAUGUCUUCCAUUUAUGCUAAAAACUCAAGGAAUUGAUUAAAUCCAAUAACAUGAUCAAUACACACCUCUACCCUGUCAUAAAAACAUAAAACAAAAAAUAUGUUUUUUUGCAUAUUUUAUAUAUCUUUGGCCCUGGUUAAUUUCUGACACUGCAAUGCAGUAUUCUAUGCUGUAUUAAUAUUUAACAAUGCAUAUGUCACUUUC